rnacentral:rRNA from 1 species
UACGAAGGGGGCUAGCGUUGCUCGGAAUCACUGGGCGUAAAGGGUGCGUAGGCGGGUCUUUAAGUCAGGGGUGAAAUCCUGGAGCUCAACUCCAGAACUGCCUUUGAUACUGAGGAUCUUGAGUUCGGGAGAGGUGAGUGGAACUGCGAGUGUAGAGGUGAAAUUCGUAGAUAUUCGCAAGAACACCAGUGGCGAAGGCGGCUCACUGGCCCGAUACUGACGCUGAGGUGCGAAAGCGUGGGAGCAAACAGG